rnacentral:lncRNA from 1 species
UAUGGAUCGAAGUGGUGCAGGGACCAAAAAUCAUGGUGUAUAGAGGAGCUUUGCAUGAUCCGAUGACCAGCAAGCAUGGCGGUUGCGAUCUGACGGUCUACGGGUGUGAUGUGAGGCUGGAAUGCACAAUCGUGCGGUAGAAAAUGCAAGCGGGCAUGAUCCAACAGUCAAAAAAGCUGUCUGACUCCUGUUAAAGGUAGAAUUUCGAUUUGGAUGUAGAUUUGGGCCUAUAAAAGAGGCCUAACGGCCUGAGGAGAUUAGUGUGCUUUUCAAUGAGGGUUUAAGAGACCG